rnacentral:rRNA from 1 species
UACGUAGGGGGCAAGCGUUGUCCGGAUUCAUUGGGCGUAAAGAGCGUGUAGGCGGCCAGGUAGGUCGGUUGUGAAAACUGGAGGCUCAACCUUCAGAGGUCGACCGAAACCAUCUGGCUAGAGUCCGGGAGAGGAGAGUGGAAUUCCUGGUGUAGCGGUGAAAUGCGCAGAUAUCAGGAAGAACACCCGUGGCGAAGGCGGCUCUCUGGGGACGGUACUGACGCUGAGACGCGAAAGCGUGGGGAGCGAACAGG